rnacentral:rRNA from 1 species
GAUGAACGCUGGCGGCGUGCCUAAUACAUGCAAGUAGAACGCUGAAGCUUGGUGCUUGCACCGAGCGGAUGAGUUGCGAACGGGUGAGUAACGCGUAGGUAACCUGCCUCUUAGCGGGGGAUAACUAUUGGAAACGAUAGCUAAUACCGCAUAAAAGUCGAUAUCGCAUGAUAUUGAUUUGAAAGGUGCAAUUGCAUCACUAAGAGAUGGACCUGCGUUGUAUUAGCUAGUUGGUGAGGUAACGGCUCACCAAGGCGACGAUACAUAGCCGACCUGAGAGGGUGAUCGGCCACACUGGGACUGAGACACGGCCCAGACUCCUACGGGAGGCAGCAGUAGGGAAUCUUCGGCAAUGGGGGCAACCCUGACCGAGCAACGCCGCGUGAGUGAAGAAGGUUUUCGGAUCGUAAAGCUCUGUUGUAAGAGAAGAACGAGUGUGAGAGUGGAAAGUUCACACUGUGACGGAACUACCAGAAAGGC